UACAGAGGUCUCAAGCGUUGUUCGGAUUCAUUGGGCGUAAAGGGUGCGUAGGCGGCGUGGUAAGUCGGAUGUGAAAUCUCGGAGCUUAACUCCGAAACUGCAUUCGAUACUGCCGUGCUUGAGGACUGGAGAGGAGACUGGAAUUUACGGUGUAGCGGUGAAAUGCGUAGAGAUGGGGGAGAACACUCGUGGCGAAGGCGGCCAGCUAGACCAGUUCUGACACUGAGGCGCGACAGCGUGGGGAGCAAACAGG
rnacentral:rRNA from 1 species